CCCUUAGAUGUUCUGGGCCGCACGCGCGCUACACUGAUGCAUUCAACGAGUCUAAAACCUGCUCUGAUAGGGGUGGGUAAUCUUUUGAAUGUGCAUCGUGAUUGGGAUAGAUGAUUGCAAUUUUUCAUCUUCAACGAGGAAUGCCUAGUAAACGCAAGUCAUCAGCUUGCAUUGAUUACGUCCCUGCCCUUUGUACACACCGCCCGUCGCUCCUACCGAUUGAAUGAUCCGAUGAAUAUCAUGGAUUGAGGAUGUAAGCAGGUUCGCCUGUCUUCAUCUUCGAGAAGUGAAGUAAAUCUUAUCAUUCAGAGGAAGGAGAAGUCGUAACA
rnacentral:rRNA from 1 species